ACCCUUGAAAGAGUGCGUAACAGCUCACUAGUCGAACGCGGUUGCGCGGACAAUGUAACGGGGCUCAAACCAGUCACCGAAGCUUGGGAUGGUCGAAAGACUAUGGUAGGGGAGCGUUCUGCAGGCGGUGAAGGCAGACCGGAAGGUCUGUUGGAGCGUGCAGGAGUGAGAAUGCCGGCAUGAGUAGCGUAAAACAUGUGAGAACCAUGUUCGUCGAAGAUCUAAGGUUUCCGACGGAAGGUCAGUCCGCGUCGGGUUAGUCGGGCCUAAGCUGAGGCCGAGAGGCGUAAGCGAUGGACAACGGGUUAAUAGUCCCGUACUUGCAGGUGGAAGAGCACAAACCCUUGGUGAAGCCAGAGCCUCUGAGUGGAUUGAGGUGGUAAAUGGUGGAAGACCAUGACGCCGGGCGCAAGCCAGAAGUCUGGGGCACUCCGAGGCAAGAAAAGCUGUGUUUCUGUUGAAGCCUGUAAACCGUACCGUAAACCGACACAGGUAGAUGGGUUGAGAAUACCACGGUGAACGAGAGAACCUUCGUCAAGGAAUUAGGCAAAAUGGCCCCGUAACUUCGGGAGAAGG
rnacentral:rRNA from 1 species